rnacentral:rRNA from 1 species
GACGACGCUGGCGGCGUGCCUAAUACAUGCAAGUAGAACGAGUUGCGAACGGGUGAGUAACGCGUGGUAACCUGCCUCAUAGCGGGGGAUAACUAUUGGAAACGAUAGCUAAUACCGCAUACCAUCAGAUGUGCCCAGAUGGGAUUAGCUAGUAGGUGGGGUAACGGCUCACCUAGGCGACGAUCCCUAGCUGGUCUGAGAGGAUGACCAGCCACACUGGAACUGAGACACGGUCCAGACUCCUACGGGAGGCAGCAGUGGGGAAUAUUGCACAAUGGGCGCAAGCCUGAUGCAGCCAUGCCGCGUGUAUGAAGAAGGCCUUCGGGUUGUAAAGUACUUUCAGCGGGGAGGCGUUACCCGCAGAAGAAGCACCGGCUAACUCCGUGCCAGCAGCCGCGGUAAUUC